rnacentral:snRNA from 1 species
GAAUGUGAUAACAAUCUGGCUAUGGCAUCUGUCACCUCAUCAAUCACCAGAGCUGAUUUGGCUGAUCUAGCUGGCUAAGCAGGUAUCCCUUUCCUCACUCACUGCUUGAUUUGUGUCCCUGCUGAAGCCUCAAUCAAAAAAGACAGCCUUUCCCAGUAGUGAAGGGCAGCUCUUUGGUUAAGGGUAUAGGAAUGUCUGUGCUCCCCUGCUACAACCUCCAAACAUGUUAUCAAGGUUUAUUUGUAGUAGAACAUAGGGUAGUCAGGCUUCUAAGACUUCAGACACGUCUAAAUGAGGUAUUGCAGAUGGCAAUCUGCCUUUCUAA